GACGAACGCUGGCGGCGUGCCUAACACAUGCAAGUGGAGCGACGAACCAGGCUUCGGCCUGGGGCAAAGCCGCGAACGGGUGAGUAACACGUGGGUAACCUGCCCCGAUGAUUGGGACAACCCGAGGAAACUCGAGCUAAUACCAAAUGUGCCCUCCAGCCGUAAGGCUGCUGGGGAAAGGAAGCUUCGGCCUCCGCAUCAGGAUGGGCCCGCGGCCCAUUAGCUUGUUGGUGAGGUAACGGCUCACCAAGGCGACGAUGGGUAGCUGGUCUGAGAG
rnacentral:rRNA from 1 species